rnacentral:rRNA from 1 species
GAGUUUGAUCGUGGCUCAGAUUGAACGCUGGCGGCAUGCCUUACACAUGCAAGUCGAACGGCAGCACGGGAGCUUGCUCCUGGUGGCGAGUGGCGAACGGGUGAGUAAUGCAUCGGAACGUAUCCUGGAGUGGGGGAUAACGUAGCGAAAGUUACGCUAAUACCGCAUAUUCUGUGAGCAGGAAAGGGGGGGACCUUCGGGCCUCGCGCUCUUGGAGCGGCCGAUGUCGGAUUAGCUAGUUGGUGAGGUAAAGGCUCACCAAGGCGACGAUCCGUAGCAGGUCUGAGAGGAUGAUCUGCCACACUGGAACUGAGACACGGUCCAGACUCCUACGGGAGGCAGCAGUGGGGAAUUUUGGACAAUGGGGGCAACCCUGAUCCAGCCAUGCCGCGUGAGUGAAGAAGGCCUUCGGUUGU